rnacentral:rRNA from 1 species
GACGAACGCUGGCGGCGUGCUUAACACAUGCAAGUCGAACGGGAUAAUUUGAGAGCUUGCUCUUAGAGAAUCUAGUGGCAAACGGGUGAGUAACACGUAGACAACCUGCCGACAGGAUGGGGACAACAUUCCGAAAGGAAUGCUAAUACCGAAUGAAGCGGAGGAGAGGCAUCUCUCCUCCGUGAAAGAUGGCCUCUGAAUAUGCCAUCACCUGUCGAUGGGUCUGCGUCUGAUUAGCUAGUUGGUGAGGUAACGGCUCACCCAGGCGACGAUCAGUAGCCGGGCUGGGAGGAUGAACGGCCACAUUGGGACUGAGACACGGCCCAGACUCCUACGGGAGGGAGCAGUGGGGAAUCUUCCGCAAUGGGCGCAAGCCUGACGGAGCAACGCCGCGUGAGUGAAGAAGGUCUUCGGAUCGUAAAGCUCUGUUGACGGGGACGAACGUGCGAAGGGUGAAUAAUCCUUUGUAAUGACGGUACCUGUCGAGGAAGCCACGGCUAACUACGUG